rnacentral:tRNA from 4 species
GCGGGUGUAGUUCAGAGGUAGAACAUCAGCUUCCCAAGCUGAGAACGCGGGUUCGAUUCCCGUCACCCGCUCCA